CUGACCGUGGAAUCAUUGGCACUGCCGUAUGCCUAAGUAAGAAGGGUGCCUGCUUCCUUUUCCAUUGUCCCCUCAAUACGAUGCGUAUCGGCCGCUGUGGUCUGUUUUGGCAUUGCUGUCGGUGCACUAAGAUUAACUGAUGGCUCCAGAGAUUCUGAAUGCAGGAUCUCUGGGAAUCUGGCAGAGGAUGCCUUGCUUCUGAAAUCGUCGGAGCCUUUUCAUCUGGGCUGUAAAGAAUCUUGUGACCUGGAGAAAACCCACAAGGGAGCCCUAAUUACUCAUAAUGACUUGUUAUUCUCCUUUUAAUAAAAGUAACUUGUUGUGGUUGGGUAUUGUUGGAACGUGAGUGGUGUGCAGGGGCUCUUUAGCUUUUUAUUUUCCAUAAAAAUCAAUUUCUUUUUUCCUCUUAAAAUUAGAAAUAAAUAAAAUAAAGGGUCACUAUUG